UGUAGGACGUUAUUUCAAUAAUGUGAACGCGUAAAUAUAUUCUUUUUUCUGUUUCUGAUGAGGACGGCAGCGCUGUCGAAACGUAAAAAGAGAGUUUUUUAAUUUUUAACUUCCUUGACUCAGUGUGAUCGAUUACAUCAAAUUCUUACUAUUUAAUACGACUGAGUGA